AGCAUGUAAAAGUCGUUCUGUCUUGAAUUUUUCACGACCUUCCUCGAGGUGUCCAACGGGAAUGAAAGAAAAUCGGUCACAGAUCACGGACUAGAUGCGAAUAGCAGUGUGUCAUAUGAAUCUCAAUUUUUUGAACAAGAAAAUGAAUUUGGGGAUUUGAAUGAACAAAGUGAAGAUAUUGCUGAAAAUUAUGACAAGCACCAAGAGUUAACCACCAAAACACAGGACUCUGAAGAUAUCUUUACCAAGCAAUCUAUCUCUAUUAUUACAGAGGAACCCAAACAACCAUGUCAACAUAGUCAAAGUCAUUUGUCACCCACUGGCCACUAUACUGGGCUAUUGUUACAGUUUGACUUUGCAUCAAAUGUAUCACAUCAGCAAUCCUUUGUUGUUCAUGAUUAUAAUGCAAACAAAAGAACAAUUAUGCAUAAUUCAUUUGUAUUUGUACAUCGAUAUCCCCACCUAUUGCUUGAUGGCUAUGGUUGGAUAUUGUGCUGCUCAUGUGAUGCAAAUAGAAAGCAAUUUGUUGAUGCCCUACCUAAUAAUAUACAAUUAGAUCCUCAAAAAGAAUCCACAUCCAUGAUGCAGUCUGUUUUCAGUGAUCAUUCCUACCAUGAGAUGCAACCUGAAGAAGACUUGUUUAGUGCAGUGUGCAGGGAGGUUCAGUGGAUUGCUGUAAAACCAGUGAAUAGUCCAUGGGGGGUUUGUACUUUAGUGUAUUCAAAAGUAAUGCCGCCCCAGCCCGAGUUAAAAUGUUGCAGCUAUUCGUCAUAUCAUUGCAUUCAUGUGACAACCCUUGCAAAAGCCAUGCAAAUCGUUGACGAGGAUGAAAUGGAUUCUCCAUUGGCACUUUUUUAAGUUUUCCUUUGGAAUUACACCAGAUGCGAGACUAUUUUGAAUUGGCUACACUUAGCAAAGAAAAGGUUUCUUUAUUUGAAACAGGCAAUGAGAAUGAUGCAAGCGAUUUUACUGAUCUUCCUGAAAAAAAUGGUCAUAAAAUUUUGGCGCCAUCUGAAAGUGGUAUUUGUUCUUGUGGUGCAGAGUGGGAUAAACGUUCUAUUCAAGAUGAAUGGUUGUACGUAGACUUGUGUUCAGUUGCGUACUUUUGUUCAAUCCAUGAUGUGAAGGUGUAUUGUAGACCUUGCUCCUCUUGUGCUACGAAAAAGCAUUAUGAUGGCAUUGAAAACAGGAUUGUAUGGUUUGGAUCAUAUGCAAUAUCUCAUGCCGAUCUAAAAGAUUACAUUCGGCUUUUCAUAACGUCGAGGUACUUUUUAAUGAAAAUUUGCCGAAGCAUUAGUAGCUACGUUUGUCCAUUAUUUAAUUUUCUCGCACUAUAUCUUUUGAAUGUUUUUUCUUUUUUAUUCUUGUUCAGUUUAUGUACAAAUAUUAUGUUGCAUAUGUACAAAGGCAAGUGUCUUCGGGUAAUUUGAAUUUCCCAAAGGAAAUAACUUGCGCCAAGUUUCGUCUCGCUAUCAUUGCCAUGAUACGGUUGCUUGAUAUUGAUUUUCACAAUGGGUUUUUUUGUGAAUUAUGUGGAAGAAUUCCCCAGAAGGUGGUGAUGGAUGGAACAACUCUUGGAAUACAGAAAACUUUCUUACCAAAUAAUUUAAGAGAGUCUGAUACUGGAUUGCUAGAUGGAAGAUAAGUAUUUUUGAAGUUUAUCUGUAAUAUAUAAUAUAUACAGGUCUGCUAAUUAGUAAAUACGAGUGUUCAUCUACGUA